CGUACGAGCGCACCCUUGUCCCUAGUUGCCAGCACUUCGGGUGGGAACUCUAGGGAGACUGCCGGUGAUAAACCGGAGGAAGGUGGGGAUGACGUCAAGUCAUCAUGGCCCUUAUGGGGAGGGCUACACACGUGCUACAAUGGCCGGUACAGAGGGCUGCGAAGCCGCGAGGUGGAGCGAAUCUCAGAAAACCGGUCGUAGUCCGGAUUGCAGUCUGCAACUCGACUGCAUGAAGCCGGAAUCGCUAGUAAUCGCGGAUCAGAGCGCCGCGGUGAAUACGUUCCCGGGCCUUGUACACACCGCCCGUCACACCAUGGGAGUGGGCUGUACCAGAAGUAGGUAGUCUAACCUUCGGGAGGACGCUUACCACGGUGUGGUUCAUGACUGGGGUGAAGUCGUAACAAGGUAGCCCUAGGGGAACCUGGGGCUGGAUCA
rnacentral:rRNA from 1 species